rnacentral:rRNA from 1 species
GUGAGGAAUAUUGGUCAAUGGGCGGGAGCCUGAACCAGCCAAGUCGCGUGAAGGAAGAAGGAUCUAUGGUUCGUAAACUUCUUUUGCAGGGGAAUAAAGUGCAGGACGUGUCCUGUUUUGUAUGUACCCUGAGAAUAAGGAUCGGCUAACUCCGUGCCAGCAGCCGCGGUAAUACGGAGGAUCCGUGCGUUAUCCGGACUUAUUGGGUCUCAAGGGUGCGUAGGUGGUUUGAUAAGUCAGCGGUGAAAGUUUGCAGCUUAACUGUAGAAAUGCCGUUGAAACUGUCGGACUUGAGUGUAAAUGAGGUAGGCGGAAUGCGUGGUGUAGCGGUGAAAUGCAUAGCUAUCACGCAGAACUCCGAUUGCGAAGGCAGCUUACUAAGCUACAACUGACACUGAAGCACGAAAGCGUGGGGAUCAAACAGGAUUAGAUACCCUGGUAGUCC